rnacentral:tRNA from 1 species
GGAGAGAUGUCCGAGUGGUUUAAGGUGAUGGUCUUGAAAACCAUUGUGCCCAUAAAGCACCGGGGGUUCGAAUCCCCCUCUCUCCG